rnacentral:lncRNA from 1 species
UUUUUUUUUUUUUGAGACAGAGUCUCACUCUUUAGCCCAGGCUGGAGGGCAUGGGCACCUUCUUAACUCCUUGUAGCCUGGAACUCCUGGGCUAAAGCCAUCCUCCUGUCUCAGCCUCUCGAGUAGCUGGGACUACAAGGGUACGCCACCACACCUGGGCUAAUUUUUAAAACUUUUGGUAGAGACAGAGCCUCACUAUGCUGGCUAGCCUGUGCUUGACUUUUAAAUAUGUGUUUGUGUAAGGCUUUCUUUAAAAGCUAUUAACUAUACUAUUUUAGCAAAUAUACAUGGGAAAUUAUCAAGGAACAAUAAAAUGAUCUUGUUCCAAGCACCAUGAACUUGGAGCCUUUCAUUUUUUUUCAUUCAGGGUGGAUAUGAAGAGCAGCUGCUGACCUUGUUAAGGUAGCCACAGAAAUGACUGAAGACUUAGAGGUGGGAGUACACAAGCUUGGAACAAGAUUUUGUUCAUUCAUUCCUACAGCCAUUCAACCAGCAUAUUCUGGGCACUUCUCAUGCACACUGGCCAUCCACCAGGGAGACAGGCCAUGCUUAGACAUAGGCUUAUUGCAAAUCAUGUUUUAUCCUUUCUUGGCUCUAAGACUGGACAAGUUCUGCCUUUCAGCUUCACCUUCCUCAUCUAUAAAGUAAGGAUAACCUUGAAUGGGGCACUGAUAGAAUUAAAAGUGAGAUAAUUGGUCGGGCGUGGUGGUACAUGCCUGUAAUCCUAGCACUUUGGGAGGCCACGGUGGGAGGAUCACUUGAGCCUAGGAGUUUGAGACCAGCCUGGGCAACAAAGUGAGAAAUUAUCAAGGAACAAUAAAAUGAUCUUAUUACAAAGAAAACCAAAUUCUCAAACAUGCAUGAAAUAUGAAGAAAAUAAACCUCCAUGACAAUCAUUUGGCUUCAAAAAUUAUCAGUAUUUGAACUUGGAGCCUUUGAUUUUGAUUUUUGCAUCUCUACAAAAAUUACAAAAUAUGAGCCGGGUGUGGUGGCGGGUGCCUGUAGUCCUAGCUACU